AAAGGGGUGGCUGCUGAGAGCAGGCAGAACAGGAACUCGGGACCUCGGGCCUAACCACAGUGCAGGGCUGCAGAGGUUGGGUCAGAGACCAUGGCAUUUGGCAGUUGGGCCACAGCAUUCCAUGGUAGGGGUGGAAGGUCAGCUCUGGCCAGUGAGCUCCAGGGAGAAGGAGACCAAACCAUUCCAACUCCUGGGGACCCUGGAAAGAUAAAGCUACACAAAGGUGACCCUACCAGCCACUGGCCACAUCCUGCCUCUGAAAACUAAGACUGUUGAGCCAUCGUCCUAGCCUCACCUCUCCUGACUUCUUCAGCUCACGCCUGGUUCUGCUCCUCCCCACCUCCUCCUGGAAGCCUUCCCUGAUGUAUCCAGCCUGGACUCAUGGCCCCUGCACUGUCCUGUCUCCUCCACACCUGUGCAUGUGGACAGCUCCCCUACCUGGUCAUCGCUGUGCACACAGCCUGGUACAGAGCCUUGGCUGGCCUCACGAAGUGUGUGAAUGAAUAAAUGAACGAAAGCAUUUCUAGCCAUCACCUCCCCUCCAGCACUGCCCCUGUCAGCCUUACUGGUUACCACUGCCACUGCCUCUUGAGGGGCCUCAGCUCCCAUCCUCAAACUCAACCCCACGUGGGUCUGCCCACACCCUGAGGCUUUCCAUGCAAGACAGAGUAGCAACCCCUUCAAAGCUGGCCGCUGCUGUGACUUUUUCUGGGUCCCCCAGCAUCUCCAGUGCCUUAGAGUCCUUGUCCUCACCAAAGCAUCCAAGGAAAUGUUGGUGAUUUUUCCUGGAGGCCUCUCCCACCCAGACUGGCAUUUCCACCCCCUCCUGGGUGCUCUGCUGGCACUUCUUCAGUAGAUGUUUUCGUUUUUGUUUUCUCUCUAGACAAAGUCUCGUGUAGCCCAGGCUAGCCGCCAAUUCAUUAUAUAGUCAAGGAUGCCUGUGCUGUCAACUUGACACAAGCCAUUCAUCUGGGAUCAGGGAGCCUCCGCUGAGGAAAUGGCUCUGUCAAGUUGUCCAUAGGCAAGUCUGGGGGCAUUUUCUUGGUUAAUGACUAAUGUGGGAGAACCCAGCCCACCAUGAGUGGCACUGACCCUGGAGAGGCUGUCCUGCGUUAUAUAAAGAGAAGCCAGUAAGCAGAGCCCUUCCAGGACUCUUCAUUGUGUUCCUGCCUCCAGGUUCCUGCUUUGGGUGCCUGCCCUGACUUCCUUCAUGAUGGACUGUAACCUGGAAGGUGAAAUAAAACCUUUCCUACGCAA